UGUAUAAUGGGUCAGCGACUUAUAUUCUGUAGCAAGGUUAACCGAAUAGGGGAGCCGAAGGGAAACCGAGUCUUAACUGGGCGUUAAGUUGCAGGGUAUAGACCCGAAACCCGGUGAUCUAGCCAUGGGCAGGUUGAAGGUUGGGUAACACUAACUGGAGGACCGAACCGACUAAUGUUGAAAAAUUAGCGGAUGACUUGUGGCUGGGGGUGAAAGGCCAAUCAAACCGGGAGAUAGCUGGUUCUCCCCGAAAGCUAUUUAGGUAGCGCCUCGUGAAUUCAUCUCC
rnacentral:rRNA from 1 species